rnacentral:rRNA from 1 species
AUUGAACGCUGGCGGCAGGCUUAACACAUGCAAGUCGAGCGGGGGAAGGUAGCUUGCUACCUAACCUAGCGGCGGAUGGGUGAGUAAUGCUUAGGAAUCUGCCUAUUAGUGGGGGCCACCAUUUGGAAAGGGAUGCUAAUACCGCAUCGGCCCUAAGGGGGAAAGCAGGGGACCUUCGGACCUUGCGUUAAUAGAUGAGCCUAAGUGGGAUUAGCUGGUUGGUGGGGUAAAGGCCUACCAAGGCGAAGAUUGGUAGCGGGUCUGAGAGGAUGAUACGCCACACUGGGACUGAGACACGGCCCAGACUCCUACGGGAGGCAGCAGUGGGGAAUAUUGGACAAUGGGGGGAACCCUGAUCCAGCCAUGCCGCGUGUGUGAAGAAGGCCUUUUGGUUGUAAAGCACUUUAAGCGAGGAGGAGGCUACCGAGAUUAAUACUCUUGGAUAGUGGACGUUACUCGCAGAAUAAGCACCGGCUAACUCUGUGCCAGCCGCCGCCGUAACAC